rnacentral:rRNA from 1 species
UAGGGAAUCUUCGGCAAUGGGGGCAACCCUGACCGAGCAACGCCGCGUGAGUGAAGAAGGUUUUCGGAUCGUAAAGCUCUGUUGUAAGUCAAGAACGGGUGUGAGAGUGGAAAGUUCACACUGUGACGGUAGCUUACCAGAAAGGGACGGCUAACUACGUGCCAGCAGCCGUGGUAAUACGUAGGUCCCGAGCGUUGUCCGGAUUUAUUGGGCGUAAAGCGAGCGCAGGCGGUUUGAUAAGUCUGAAGUUAAAGGCUGUGGCGCAACCGUAGUUCGCUUUGGAAACUGACAAACUUGAGUGCAGAAGGGGAGAGUGGAAUUCCAUGUGUAGCGGUGAAAUGCGUAGAUAUAUGGAGGAACACCGGUGGCGAAAGCGGCUCUCUGGUCUGUAACUGACGCUGAGGCUCGAAAGCGUGGGGAGCGAACAGG